UACAGAGGUCCCAAGCGUUGUUCGGAUUCAUUGGGCGUAAAGGGUGCGUAGGUGGCGCCGUAAGUCGGGUGUGAAAUUUCGGAGCUUAACUCCGAAACUGCAUUCGAUACUGCGGUGCUUGAGGACUGGAGAGGAGACUGGAAUUCAUGGUGUAGCAGUGAAAUGCGUAGAGAUCAUGAGGAAGACCAGUGGCGAAGGCGGGUCUCUGGACAGUUCCUGACACUGAGGCACGAAGGCCAGAGGAGCAAACGGG
rnacentral:rRNA from 1 species